AGAACAAUGCUUCCUCCUCUUGAC
rnacentral:siRNA from 1 species